rnacentral:rRNA from 1 species
AUGCAGUGUACCCGCGGCAAGACGGAAAGACCCCGUGAACCUUUACUAUAGCUUGACACUGAACAUUGAGCCUUGAUGUGUAGGAUAGGUGGGAGGCUUUGAAGCGUGGACGCCAGUCUGCGUGGAGCCGACCUUGAAAUACCACCCUUUAAUGUUUGAUGUUCUAACGUGGAUCCGUAAUCCGGGUUGCGGACAGUGUCUGGUGGGUAGUUUGACUGGGGCGGUCUCCUCCUAAAGAGUAACGGAGGAGCACGAAGGUUGGCUAAUCCUGGUCGGACAUCAGGAGGUUAGUGCAAUGGCAUAAGCCAGCUUGACUGCGAGCGUGACGGCGCGAGCAGGUGCGAAAGCAGGUCAUAGUGAUCCGGUGGUUCUGAAUGGAAGGGCCAUCGCUCAACGGAUAAAAGGUACUCCGGGGAUAACAGGCUGAUACCGCCCAAGAGUUCAUAUCGACGGCGGUGUUUGGCACCUCGAUGUCGGCUCAUCACAUCCUGGGGCUGAAGUAGGUCCCAAGGGUAUGGCUGUUCGCCAUUUAAAGUGGUACGCGAGCUGGGUUUAGAACGUCGUGAGACAGUUCGGUCCCUAUCUGCCGUGGGCGCUGGAGAACUGAGGGGGGCUGCUCCUAGUACGAGAGGACCGGAGUGGACGCAUCACUGGUGUUCGGGUUGUCAUGCCAAUGGCACUGCCCGGUAGCUAAAUGCGGAAGAGAUAAGUGCUGAAAGCAUCUAAGCACGAAACUUGCCCCGAGAUGAGUUCUCCCUGAGACUUAGAGUCUCCUGAAGGAACGUUGAAGACGACGACGUUGAUAGGCCGGGUGUGUAAGCGCAGCGAUGCGUUGAGCUAACCGGUACUAAUGAACCGUGAGGCUUAACCUUACAACGCCGAAG